AUUGAACGCUGGCGGUAGGCCUAACACAUGCAAGUCGAACGCGAAAGUCCUUCGGGAUGAGUAGAGUGGCGGACGGGUGAGUAACGCGUAGGAAUCUAUCCUGUAGUGGGGGAUAACGUUUCGAAAGGAACGCUAAUACCGCAUACGCCCCAAGGGGGAAAGCGGGGGAUCUUCGGACCUCGUGCUAUAGGAGGAGCCUGCGUCGGAUUAGCUAGUUGGUGAGGUAAAGGCUCACCAAGGCGACGAUCCGUAGCUGGUCUGAGAGGAUGAUCAGCCACACCGGAACUGAGACACGGUCCGGACUCCUGCGGGAGGCAGCAGUGGGGAAUAUUGCGCAAUGGGCGAAAGCCUGACGCAGCCAUACCGCGUGUGUGAAGAAGGCCUUCGGGUUGUAAAGCACUUUCAGUGGGGAGGAAAAGCUGGUGGCUAAUAUCCAUCGGCCGUGACGCUACCCACAGAAGAAGCACCGGCUAAUUCCGCGCCAGCCGCCGCCGUAAUAC
rnacentral:rRNA from 1 species